UGGGGAAUAUUGGGCAAUGGGCGCAAGCCUGACCCAGCAACGCCGCGUGAGGGAAGAAGGCUUUCGGGUUGUAAACCUCUGUCCUUGGUGACGAAACAAAUGACGGUAGCCAAGGAGGAAGCCCCGGCUAACUACGUGCCAGCAGCCGCGGUAAUACGUAGGGGGCGAGCGUUGUCCGGAAUUACUGGGCGUAAAGGGUGCGUAGGUGGCCUUUUAAGUUGGAUGUGAAAUACCCGGGCUUAACUUGGGGGGUGCAUCUAAUACUGGAGGGCUAGAGUGCAGGAGAGGAAAGCGGAAUUCCUAGUGUAGCGGUGAAAUGCGUAGAUAUUAGGAGGAACACCAGUGGCGAAGGCGGCUUUCUGGACUGUAACUGACACUGAGGCACGAAAGCGUGGGGAGCAAACA
rnacentral:rRNA from 1 species